rnacentral:rRNA from 1 species
AGGCUACUGCUAUUAGAGUUCGAUUAAGCCAUGUUAGUUAAGGGGGCCUCGCAAGAGGUAACCCGGCGGACGGCUCAGUAACACGUGGAUAACUUACCCUUAGGAUAGGGAUAACCCCUGGGAAACUGGGGAUAAUACCUAAUAAGCCUUCGAUUGCUGGAAUGCACGAAGACCAAAAGCUAAGGCACCUAAGGAUAGGUCUGCGACUGAUUAGAUGGUUGUUGAUGUAAUGGAUCAACAAGUCAACGAUCAGUACGGGUUGUGAGAGCAAUAGCCCGGAGAUGGGUUCUGAGAAAAGAACCCAGGUCCUACGGGACGCAUCAGGCGCGAAAACUUUACACUGUGCGAAAGCACGAUAAGGGAACUCUGAGUGCCUCCUCAGGAGGCUGUUCCGAUGUCUAAAAAGCAUCGGAAGGAAGGACUGGGUAAGACCGGUGCCAGCCGCCGCGGUAACACCGGCAGUCCAAGUGGUAGCCACUUUUAUUAGGUCUAAAGCGUCCGUAGCCGGCUAGGUAAGUCCCUUGGUAAAUCUGAUUGCUUAACGAUCAGGGUUCUAGGGGAUACUGCAGGGCUUGAGACCGGAAGAGGUCAGAGGUACUUCAAGGGUAGGAGUGAAAUCCUUUAAUCCCUGAAGGACCAUCAGUGGCGAAGGCAUCUGACCAGAACGGAUCUGACGGUGAGGGACUAAGGCUAGGGGCGCGAACCGGAUUAGAUACCCGGGUAGUCCUAGCAGUAAACGAUGCGGGCUAGGUGUUAGUAUCACUGCGAGUGGUACUAGUGUCGAAGGGAAGCCGUUAAGCCCGCCAUCUGGGAAGUACGGUCGCAAGGCUGAAACUUAAAGGAAUUGGCGGGGGAGCACUACAACGGGUGGAGCCUGCGGUUU